rnacentral:rRNA from 1 species
UACGAAGGGGACUAGCGUUGUUCGGAAUUACUGGGCGUAAAGCGCACGUAGGCGGAUUUGUUAGUCAGGGGUGAAAUCCCGGGGCUCAACCCCGGACCUGCAUCCGAUACUGCCAGGCUAGAGGCAGGUAGGGGAGAUCGGAAUUCCUGGUGUAGCGGUGAAAUGCGCAGAUAUCAGGAGGAACACCGGUGGCGAAGGCGGGUCUCUGGGCCGAUACUGACGCUGAGGAGCGAAAGCGUGGGGAGCGAACAGG